rnacentral:rRNA from 1 species
CGCAAGCCUGACGGAGCAACGCCGCGUGAGGGAUGAAGGCCUUUGGGCUGUAAACCUCUUUUCUCAAGGAAGAAGACCUGACGGUACUUGAGGAAUAAGCCACGGCUAAUUCCGUGCCAGCAGCCGCGGUAAUACGGGAGUGGCAAGCGUUAUCCGGAAUUAUUGGGCGUAAAGCGUCCGCAGGCGGCCGUUUAAGUCUGUUGUUAAAUCGUGGAGCUCAACUCCAUCACGGCAAUGGAAACUGUUCGGCUUGAGUAUGGUAGGGGCAGAGGGAAUUUCCGGUGUAGCGGUGAAAUGCGUAGAUAUCGGGAAGAACACCAGUGGCAAAAGCGCUCUGCUGGGCCAUUACUGACGCUCAUGGACGAAAGCCAGGGGAGCGAAAGGGAUUAGAUACCCCUGUAGUCCUGGCCGUAAACGAUGAACACUAGAUGUUGGGGGAAUCGACCCCUCCGGUGUCGUAGCUAACGCGUUAAGUGUUCCGCCUGGGGAGUACGCACGCAAGUGUGAAACUCAAAGGAAUUGACGGGGGCCCGCACAAGCGGUGGAGUAUGUGGUUUAAUUCGAUGCAACGCGAAGAACCUUACCAAGGCUUGACAUCCUGCGAAUCUCCAAGAAAUUGGAGAGUGCCUUCGGGAACGCAGUGACAGGUGGUGCAUGGCUGUCGUCAGCUCGUGUCGUGAGAUGUUGGGUUAAGUCCCGCAACGAGCGCAACCCACGUUUUUAGUUGCCAGCAUUCAGUUGGGCACUCUAGAAAGACUGCCGGUGACAAACCGGAGGAAGGUGUGGACGACGUCAAGUCAUCAUGCCCCUUACGCCUUGGGCUACACACGUACUACAAUGCUGCGGACAAAGAGUAGCGAUCUUGCAAAAGUUAGCUAAUCUCGUAAACCGUGGCUCAGUUCAGAUCGUAGGCUGCAACUCGCCUACGUGAAGGAGGAAUCGCUAGUAAUCGCAGGUCAGCAUACUGCGGUGAAUACGUUCCCGGGCCUUGUACACACCGCCCGUCACACCAUGGAAGUUGGCCAUGCCCGAAGUCGUUACUCUAACCUUUUGGAAGAGGGCGCCGAAGGCAGGGCUAAUGACUGGGGUGAAGUCGUAACAAGGUAGCCGUAGCGGAAGCUGCGGCUGGAUCACCUCCUAA